rnacentral:misc_RNA from 1 species
UGUGAGGCUUCUGGCUCUGUGCUGGGAUC